ensembl:ncRNA lncRNA:CR44885 long non-coding RNA:CR44885
AAGAUAUAGAUAUUGUGCAAACGAAAACAGCCGACAAGCAAACAAGGCAACAAACGCAGCAACAACAACAGAAAGAAAAACAACAACAAUGGCCCACCACAGCGAUCCGCACAAAGAUUCAAUAAUGAAACAGUGAUGGCAUAAACAAAGCUAAUGUUUUAUUUUAAUUUAAUUCAAAAACAUAUUGUUACUGCACACGACAGUGUUACAGGUGUAAGUUGCCCAUCGUCCCGCGCAAUUAAGAGAAAAGAGGGAAAAAAGUGACGGCGCUGGGACGGACAUCUGUACCUGCUCAAUUAAAAAGUCAUUAACUGCGGCACACAAGUUGCACGCAGAGGAACCAAAAACCCGACCCGAGCGAUAGAAGGACUGUGAUUGACACCAGCACGCAAGAUCCACCCUCCCUUCUCCGGCCGUCUGUCUAUCUGUCCGUUCGUCUGUCCGUUCGUCUGUCCAUUCGUCCGUCCGUAUAAAUCUGCCGAUAUAGCAGAGACAUAUCGAUGCACGCACCUUGCAAUUACCCGGUUGGAUAUCGAGGAUCGAGAUCCGAGUAUGGAGGCAUGUGGCGCAGAGACUCUGCGUAGAAUUGCUCAAGUGGCAGGGAUGGCAAAUCCUAUUC